rnacentral:ncRNA from 2 species
AUCUGGCUUUAGGGGUAUUCUAAAUUUAGAAUUGAGAGAGUCCCUUUGAACCUGUUUGGUUAAUACCAGCGUAGGGAAAAGUAUAUUUUUAUCU